GCAGGUUGAAGCGCGGGUAAGACCGCGUGGAGGACCGAACCCACCUGGGUUGAAAACCGGGGGGAUGACCUGGGGCUAGGGGUGAAAGGCCAAUCAAAUUCCGUGAUAGCUGGUUCUCUCCGAAAUGCAUUUAGGUGCAGCGUCGGUUGAUUGCAUCGCGGGGGUAGAGCUACUGGAUGCUUGCGGGCCCGUGUCGGGUACCAAUAGCAGCCAAACUCCGAAUACCGUGGAUGUGUAUUCCGGCAGUGAGUCGGCGGGGGAUAAGCUCCGUCGUCGAGAGGGAGACAGCCCAGAUCGUCGUCUAAGGUCCCGAAGCGUGUGCUAAGUGGGAAAGGAUGUGGAGUCGCAUAGACAGCCAGGAGGUUGGCUCAGAAGCAGCCAUCCUUGAAAGAGUGCGUAACAGCUCACUGGUCUAGUGGUUCCGCGCCGACAAUGUAGCGGGGCUCAAGCACACCACCGAAGACGCGGCAACAGUUUUUGCUGUUGGGUAGGAGAGCGUCCCGCGUGGGGCGAAGCGGCCGGGGAACCGUGCCGUGGACCGCGCGGGAGUGAGAAUGCAGACAUGAGUAGCGAGAGACGGGUGAGGAUCCCGUCCGCUGGAUGACCAAGGGUUCCGGGGCCACGUUCGUCGUCCCCGGGUGAGUCGGGUCCUAAGGCGAGGCCGACAGGCGUAGUCGAAUGGAUGAACGGGUGGAUAUUCCCGUACCGGCGGCGUACCGUAAGAGCCGAACGGAUGAGUACUAACCUCCGGUCGCGUGGCGUCGUUCCCUUCGGGGUUCGGGGUCGCGUGGCUGUUGGGAGCGUAGUCCUGGUAGGCUAGCGCACAGGGGUGACACGGAAUGGGAGCCGGCCGCGGAGGUGGUUUUCCGUGGUCAAGCACGCAGCCCGUCCCAUAGGCAAAUCCGUGGGACGCAUAGGGUGAGGUGUGAUGAUGGGCGUCCUUUGGACGCGAUAUCCGGUGGUCCAGGCCGUCGAGAAAAGCCUCGGCGCGAGGGGCGUCGCCGCCCGUACCCCAAACCGACACUGGUGGUCAGGUAGAGAAUACCAAGGCGAUCGAGCGAAUCCUGGUCAAGGAACUCGGCAAAUCACUCCCGUGCCUUCGGUAUAAGGGAGACCCCCGGGCGUGAAGAGGCUUGCCCUCGGAGCGUUGGGGGGUGGCACAGACCAGGGGGUAGCGACUGUUUACCAAAAACACAGGUGCAUGCGAAGGCGCAAGCCGCUGUAUAUGCACUGACGCCUGCCCGGUGCCGGAAGGUUAAGAGGAUCCGUCAGCCCCUUUUGGGGUGAAGCGGUGAAUUCAAGCCCCGGUAAACGGCGGUGGUAACUAUAACCAUCCUAAGGUAGCGAAAUUCCUUGUCGGGUAAGUUCCGACCUGCACGAAUGGCGUAACGA
rnacentral:rRNA from 1 species